GGCAAUCCCCUAAUGUUCCCUUCCACCUUGUGGAAGUUUUGUUCUUUCGCUCUUUGCAAUAAAUCCCAUUGUUGCUCGCUCUUUGGGGUCUCACUGUCUGUGCGAGCUGUAAUACUCGCCGCAAAGGUGUCUGGCUUCACUUCCGAGACCAGCGAGACCCCGAACCCACCGGGAGGAAUGAACAACUCCGGAUGGGAGGGACAAACAACACCAGACGCACCGCCUUAAGAGUCCUAACGCUCACCGCGGAGGUCUGCGGCUUCACUCUUGAAUGAAGCCAGCGAGAUCACAAACCCACCAGAAGGAAGGAACUCUGAACACAUCCGAAAAUCAGAAGGAACAAACUCCGGACACACUACCUUUAAGAACUGUAACACUCAAAUCGCGAGGGUCCACGGCUUCGUUCUUGAAGUCAGUGAGACCAAGAACCCACAAAUUCCGGACACUUCCCCACACAGAGGGAACUGGCCUAACACUCUGGUGGUGCCAAUAGGAUGUACUGACAGAUCAGAAGUGGUCGUGAGAGAAGGAGCAAGUAGCCAGAAGAGUGAAGUGUGCACUGGCUGAGAUGUGGGAGCAGGUGUUGUUGGUUUCCCCGGAGAUGCAGCAAGAAGGCCCUCGCCAGAUAUCAAGGCCUUAAGCUUGGACUUCCCAGCCUCCAGAACUGUCUUAUGUAUCAACAAAAUCACACCAGACCACCCAAAGCUGGCCCUGCCAACUGACCACACACACCCCUGCCUGAAAGGCAUGUUUCAAUGUGCAACAGACGCCUGCCACUCAGGGGACAUCAAAUGUUCAUGAGAACUCGCUAACCUCGAAACAGGUUCUACAAAUUCAAAAAAACCACCCGUGGCCUGGCUCUGGGCUGAAGCUGAGUCCUGGCUUGAAAUCCCCUGCCUUAAUCUCUCUUCGAAGACUUUUCUGCAUUCAUCUGAGUCCUCAUCCUCCAAGGCAGGGCUCAGGCUUGGGCUCAGGCUCCCAGCCAUGUAUCCCUCCUGGACCAUUCCUGACUCCUUUCCAGUAUCCUUAUCACUUGUACCACAUACGUUGGCCUUUGAUCCUGUGUACUGUUGGAUUUGUCUUUACUUCACAGGUUCAUCUUGUCUCCCCAAGAACAAUGAGAGUUGCCUCAAGGGGUAGAACCAUGCUUUUUGUUUUCUUUUGAAUUCAUUACAGCACAGCCAAAAGCUCAACACACAAAACACACUCAGUAAAUAUCUGUUGAACAGAAUAAAAGCCAUUCCGCA